rnacentral:rRNA from 1 species
UACGUAGGGUCCGAGCGUUGUCCGGAAUUAUUGGGCGUGAAGGGCUCGUAGGCGGUUUGUCACGUCGGGAGUGAAAACUCAGGGCUCAACCCUGAGCGUGCUUCCGAUACGGGCAGACUAGAGGUAUGCAGGGGAGAACGGAAUUCCUGGUGUAGCGGUGGAAUGCGCAGAUAUCAGGAGGAACACCGGUGGCGAAGGCGGUUCUCUGGGCAUUACCUGACGCUGAGGAGCGAAAGCGUGGGGAGCAAACAGG